rnacentral:rRNA from 1 species
UACGUAGGGUGCAAGCGUUAAUCGGAAUUACUGGGCGUAAAGCGUGCGCAGGCGGUUAUGUAAGACAGAUGUGAAAUGCCCGGGCUUAACCUGGGAACUGCAUUUGUGACUGCAUGGCUAGAAUCUGGCAGAGGGGGGUAGAAUUCCACGUGUAGCAGUGAAAUGCGUAGAGAUGCGGAGGAACACCGAUGGCGAAGGCAGCCCCCUGGGCUAACACUGACGCUCAGGCACGAAAGCGUGGGGAGCAAACAGG